AGGUGUAGCAAAAUAGAAGAUGAAGGUCUAGCUGUGCCAGUCAGUGCUGAGCCACACAGUUGCUGCUGGCAUGUUUGCAAAAUAGCACAAGGUGUAGCAAAAUAGAAGAUGAAGGUCUAGCUGUGCCAGUCAGUGCUGAGCCACACAGUUGCUGCUGGCAUGUUUGCAAAAUAGCACAAGGUGUAGCAAAAUAGAAGAUGAAGGUCUAGCUGUGCCAGUCAGUGCUGAGCCACACAGUUGCUGCUGGCAUGUUUGCAAAAUAGCACAAGGUAACCUGCUUCAUCAUCAUUAUCAGCCUAUUUUAACGACACUAGUUUAACAGAGCCAGACCUUAUAGAAAAGGGGUUAGGGAGCUUAGACCCACCACACUGCUACAAUAAAGGUUGGUGAGCUAAGGGAGAUAAAGUGAAAUUCAUUGUGGAUCACUAUCAGAUGUUAAUGAUAAUGACCUGGACGAGGCGCGGGAGUGUAAUACAAACAACUUACCAACUCCAGGCUGAGAACUGUAAAUUUCUUGGAAGAAAGAAAAACUCAGUAUC